CUCGCUUGCUCCGGCCGCCAC
rnacentral:miRNA from 1 species